UUAUGCUAAUAAGAGCGUAUGGUGGAUGCCUUGGCACUAAGAGCCGAUGAAAGACGUGAUAAGCUGCGAAAAGCUUCGGGGAGGAGCAAAUAUCCUGAGAUCCGGAGAUAUCUGAAUGGGGAAACCUACUUGAGAAGACCUCAAGUAUCCACAGCCCAAUCCAUAAGCUGUGGAAGGGAACCCGGUGAACUGAAACAUCUAAGUAGCCGGAGGAAGAGAAAACAACAUGUGAUUCCGUAAGUAGCGGCGAGCGAACGCGGAAGAGCCCAAACCGGAGUGCGUGCACUCCGGGGUUCGGACUGCAGGAUUGACGAGUGAGCCUAGUAGAAUGGUUUUGGGAAAGCCAGCCAGAGAGGGUGAAAGCCCCGUACACGAAAGGCAAGCGAGCAUGGCAGGAUCCAGAGUACCACGAGACACGUGAAACCUUGUGGGAAUGAGCGGGGACCACCCCGUAAGGCUAAAUACUCCUUAGUGACCGAUAGCGCAUAGUACUGUGAAGGAAAGGUGAAAAGGACCCCGGGAGGGGAGUGAAAGAGAACCUGAAACCAUAUGUUUACAAGCUGUGGAACAUCUUUAUAUGAUGAACCGCGUACUUUUUGUAGAACGGUCCGGCGAGUUACGCUGGCUGGCGAGGUUAAGGGCUGAAGGCCUGGAGCCGAAGGGAAACCGAGUCUGAACAGGGCGAAAUAGUCAGUCGGAGUAGACCCGAAACCGGGUGAUCUAUCCAUGUCCAGGUUGAAGUUGCCGUAAAAGGCAAUGGAGGACCGAACCCACAUCCGUUGAAAAGGGUGGGGAUGAGGUGUGGAUAGGGGAGAAAUUCCAAUCGAACCCGGAGAUAGCUGGUUCUCCUCGAAAUAGCUUUAGGGCUAGCCUCAUGCAAGUCUUACGGAGGUAGAGCACUGAAUUCCUAAGGGGGCGUCAAAGCUUACCAAGGGAUAUCAAACUCCGAAUGCCGUGUAGAUGGUGCAUGGGAGUCAGACUAUCCGAGAUAAGUUGGGUAGUCAAAAGGGAAAGAGCCCAGACCUACAGCUAAGGUCCCAAAAUGUGUGUUAAGUGGAAAAGGAUGUGGGAUUUCGAAGACAACUAGGAUGUUGGCUUAGAAGCAGCCAUCCAUUAAAAGAGUGCGUAAUAGCUCACUAGUCGAGAGGUCCUGCGCCGAAAAUGUCCGGGGCUGAAACACACUACCGAAGCUUGGGAAUUGACGAAUGUUAAUUGGUAGAGGAGCAUUCUUAACGGGGCGAAGCUGUACCGGAAGGAGCAGUGGACUGUUAAGAAGAGAGAAUGCCGGAAUGAGUAGCGAGAGGAAGGUGAGAAUCCUUCCGGCCGAAUAUCUAAGGUUUCCAGAGUAAAGCUGAUCUGCUCUGGGUAAGUCGGGGCCUAAGGCGAGGUCGAAAGACGUAGUCGAUGGAUAACAGGUAAAGAUUCCUGUACUGUAUCAUAACAGAACUGUGGGGACGCAGACAGAGAGCAUAAGCCGGGAAUGGAAAAACCGGUACAAGCGAGGUAGGAGUGCAUCAGGCAAAUCCGGUGCACAAUCUGAAGACGUGAUGUGGGGCGUAAAGCCGGAAGUAUGUGAGCUGGCUGCCAAGAAAAGCCGCUAUUGUUUAUGAUAUACCCGUACCGUAAACCGACACAGGUGGAUGAGGAGAGAAUCCUAAGGCCGACGGGAGAAGCAUUGUUAAGGAACUCGGCAAAAUGACUCCGUAACUUCGGGAGAAGGAGUGCCAUGUAAAAGUGGCCGCAGAGAAUUGGCCCAAGCAACUGUUUAGCAAAAACACAGGUCUAUGCAAAACCGAAAGGUGAGGUAUAUGGGCUGACGCCUGCCCGGUGCUGGAAGGUUAAGGGGAGAGGUUAGUCGUAAGGCGAAGCUUUGAACUUAAGCCCCAGUAAACGGCGGCCGUAACUAUAACGGUCCUAAGGUAGCGAAAUUCCUUGUCGGGUAAGUUCCGACCCGC
rnacentral:rRNA from 1 species